AACGAACGCUGGCGGCGUGCCUAACACAUGCAAGUCGCGCGAGAAAAGGGAGCAAUCCCUGAGUAAAGCGGCGAACGGGUGAGUAACACGUAGGUAAUCUACCCCCAAGUCUGGGAUAACCUACCGAAAGGUGGGCUAAUACCGGAUAUGACCACGGGAGUUCCGGCUCCUGCGGUUGAAAGGUGGCCUCUGCUUGCAAGCUACCGCUCGAGGAUGAGCCUGCGCGCCAUAGCUA
rnacentral:rRNA from 1 species